AAAUUUACAUUUCAUUUAUUUAUAUUGUUAUGUGUUGAAAAACUAUUCUGAUUUUUCCACCUUGCGUAGCACUACCACUGCUCAGACUCACGAGCCGCCACUGCCAACAAUAACAGGUAUAUGACGUUAGUUCGGACAUUUUGCGCUUUAUCAUCUCCCUAUACUGCAGUGUCAUUGUCGGCGUCAAUUGAUAUUACUAAACUGUUUAGUGAUGUUUGUGGAGAUUAUGGUCUACGGUUUCAUUACUGGACAAUUUAACGGACUAUCGGUAUUACCGGACAACCUCCACUUCCUAUUAGUCCGUUAAAUCGAUGGUUUACUGUAUUCAUGUAAGAAAAUAUACAAGUAGGACUUUGACUAAUCAAAUAAGUCAGUAUUUGUUUGCUCUGUUAUUAUGUACCGACAUGUUGGCGACAUUAUACAAACAAAUUAGGAGUAAAGACCAACAUGUCCUCCAUUUAUUGAAACCGAAAGCAGCGCCUGCGCAUUAGUAGUCAGCACUCGCAAUGACAGAGAAGAUUACCGACCUAUAUCGAAUUCCAGUAUCGAAACUGAAAUAGGGUAAGUUGAUAGCUCAGGCAGUGACAUCUGUCAUCGUUGACAAGAACUACUACAAGAAAUCAGAUGGUUGGCAUGCCUGGCCACGAUACAUUUUGGACCAAUCAUAAAGCAGUUGUAAUGGAUGUUGAGGAUGGUGUUAUCUGUGGAGGAACCGGCAACAGUGUGCUUCGUGCUGAUGAUGGAGGCUGCAGUGCAAUGCCUUUCUGAGCCAAGUGAACUGCAUACAUGACAAAUGGCAUCACAGAUUAGAAGACCACACUCAAAUGAAUUAUGUUUUUGCAUUAAAAAUAUCUAUACACAGCUAACAAAAUGUUUCAAGUUAAGCAGGGCACUUAUAAAAUAAUGACACAAAAUUAAAGAGUGGUAAUUCAUAAAUUAA